CAGCCGCGGUAAUACACCAGGGUGCAAGCGUUAAUCCUUUUAACUGGGCGUAAAGCGUGCGCAGGCGGCUUUGUAAGACAGGAGUGAAACCCCCGGGCUUAACCUGGGAAUGGCGCUUGUGACUGCAACGCUGGAGUGCGGCAGAGGGGGAUGGAAUUCCGCGUGUAGCAGUGAAAUGCGUACAUAUGCGGAGGAACACCGAUGGCGAAGGCAAUCCCCUGGGCCUGUCUGAUGCUCCUGCACAAAAGCGUGGGGAGCAAACAGGAUUAGAUACCCUGGUAGUCCACGCCCUAGACGAUGUCAACUGGUUGUUGGGUCUCUUCUGACUCAGUAACUUAGCUAACGCGUGAAGUUGACCGCCUGGGGAGUACGGCCGCAAGGUUGAUACUCAAAGGAAUUGACGGUGACCCGCACAAGUGGUGGAUGAUGUGGUUUAAUUCGAUGAAAUGCUAAAAACCUUACCUACCUUUGACAUGUACGGAAUUUGCCAUAGAUGUUUUACUGCUCGAAACACAGCCGCAACUCAGGUGUUGCAUGGCUGUUUUCAGCUCGUGUCGUGACACGUU
rnacentral:rRNA from 1 species